GACGAAGGGGGCUAGCGUUGUUCGGAAUUACUGGGCGUAAAGCGAGUGUAGGUGGUUGUCCAAGUUGGAUGUGGAAGCCUUGAGCUCAACUCAAGAAAUGCAUUCAGGACUGGGCGGCUAGAGGACCGGAGAGGAUAGUGGAAUUCCCAGUGUAGUGGUGAAAUACGUAGAGAUUGGGAAGAACACCAGUGGCGAAGGCGGCUAUCUGGACGGUUCUGACACUAAGACUCGAAAGCGUGGGGAGCAAACAGG
rnacentral:rRNA from 1 species